UCGAGAAUCUUCCACAAUGGACGAAAGUCUGAUGGAGCGACGUCGCGUGAUGGACGAAGUGCUUCGGCACGUAAACAUCUUUUAUGAGGGACGAAAUUAUUGACGGUACCUCAUGAAUAAGGGGCUCCUAACUCUGUGCCAGCAGGAGCGGUAAUACAGAGGCCCCAAGCGUUAUCCGGAAUCACUGGGCGUAAAGGGUGUCGAGGCGGUCAUGUUAGUCGUUCGUAAAAUCCGUGGGCUCAACCUACGGCCGGCGAGCGAAACGGCAUGACUAGAGGUCGGAAGAGGUGCGUGGAACUCACGGUGUAGGGGUGAAAUCCGUUGAUAUCGUGGGGAACACCAAAGGCGAAGGCAGCGCACUGGUCCGAAUCUGACGCUCACACACGAAAGCCAGGGUAGC
rnacentral:rRNA from 1 species